rnacentral:misc_RNA from 1 species
UGGAAGUAAAAGUCGUAACAAGGUCUCCGUUGGUGAACCAGCGGAGGGAUCAUUACAGAGUUGCAAAACUCCCUAAACCAUUGUGAACGUUACCUAUACCGUUGCUUCGGCGGGCGGCCCCGGGGUUUACCCCCCGGGCGCCCCUGGGCCCCACCGCGGGCGCCCGCCGGAGGUCACCAAACUCUUGAUAAUUUAUGGCCUCUCUGAGUCUUCUGUACUGAAUAAGUCAAAACUUUCAACAACGGAUCUCUUGGUUCUGGCAUCGAUGAAGAACGCAGCGAAAUGCGAUAAGUAAUGUGAAUUGCAGAAUUCAGUGAAUCAUCGAAUCUUUGAACGCACAUUGCGCCCGCCAGCAUUCUGGCGGGCAUGCCUGUUCGAGCGUCAUUUCAACCAUCAAGCCCCCGGGCUUGUGUUGGGGACCUGCGGCUGCCGCAGGCCCUGAAAAGCAGUGGCGGGCUCGCUGUCGCACCGAGCGUAGUAGCAUACAUCUCGCUCUGGUCGCGCCGCGGGUUCCGGCCGUUAAACCACCUUUUAACCCAAGGUUGACCUCGGAUCAGGUAGGAAGACCCGCUGAACUUAAGCAUAUCAAUAAGCGGAGGAA